AGUUUUGCUCAGGGGCAGUAUUAUAGCCAAUGAAGUUUAUCUAAGGUAUAAUUAUUGCUAAUUGAAAACAUUAUUGGUGUAUAGAAAAAGCAACUGAUUUUUUUAAUGUUGAUUUUGUAUCCUGCUACUUUGCUG
ensembl:snRNA U4 U4 spliceosomal RNA